rnacentral:tRNA from 1 species
GGGCCCAUAGUCUAACUUGGAUAGAACAGAUGGCUUCGAACCAUCUGAUCUGGGUUCAAAUCCCAGUGGGCCCA